GAUGAACGCUGGCGGCGUGCUUAACACAUGCAAGUCGAGCGAAGCAUUUGCAGUUGAUUUCUUCGGAUUGAUUCUGUUUAUGACUGAGCGGGCGUACGGGUGAAGGUACGCGUAGGGUAACCUGCCUCAUACAGGGGGAUAACAGUUAGAAAUGACUGCUAAUACCGCAUAAUGCAUCAAUUUCGCAUGUUAUUGAUGCCAAAGGAGCAAUCCGCCUUUAGAUGAGCUCGCGUCUGAUUAGCUAGUUGGCGGGGUAACGGCCCACCAAGGCGACGAUCAGUAGCCAGACUGAGAGGUUGAACGGCCACAUUGGGACUGAGACACGGCCCAG
rnacentral:rRNA from 1 species